rnacentral:tRNA from 1 species
GCUCCAGUGGCGCAAUUGGUUAGCGCACGGUACUUAUAAUCAGUAAAAAGUGAAGUUAACCACAAUGUGUGAGCGAUGCCGGGGUUGUGAGUUCGAGCCUCACCUGGAGCA